rnacentral:rRNA from 1 species
CUACGGAGGGUGCAAGCGUUACUCGGAAUCACUGGGCGUAAAGCGCGCGCAGGCGGCUAUUUAAGUUGGAUGUGAAAGCCUACGGCUCAACCGUAGAACUGCAUCCAAAACUAUUUAGCUAGAGUGUGGGAGAGGAAGAUGGAAUUAGUUGUGUAGGGGUAAAAUACGUAGAGAUAACUAGGAAUACCAAAAGCGAAGGCAAUCUUCUGGAACACUACUGACGCUGAGGCGCGAAAGCGUGGGGAGCAAACAGGAGUAGAUACCCCAGUAGUCC